rnacentral:rRNA from 1 species
UACGUAGGGGGCAAGCGUUGUCCGGAAUCAUUGGGCGUAAAGCGCGCGUAGGCGGCCCUGUAAGUCCGUUGUGAAAGUCAAAGGCUCAACCUUUGAAAGCCGAUGGAUACUGCAGGGCUAGAGUCCGGAAGAGGCGAGUGGAAUUCCUGGUGUAGCGGUGGAAUGCGCAGAUAUCAGGAGGAACACCAAUAGCGAAGGCAGCUCGCUGGGACGGUACUGACGCUAAGGCGCGAAAGCGUGGGGAGCGAACGGG